rnacentral:lncRNA from 1 species
GACAAUAUGACUGUUCAGAAAUUAAAUGAGCAAAACAUUGAAAGCAACGCGAUCUCUAAGGAAGUUAUUUUGGUACGGGAUAAAAUAUUUAGCAUCCUACCAGAUCUCAAUGCUUCAGUGGCUUCUAACACAUCAAUUUAGGGAUGGUCAUGAGAUCCCGCUGUGAGAAAAAAGAGGAGAGAAAAGAUUAUGGAGGGGCUGGAAAAUCAGGAAGAAGACGAGGCUCAGUCGCAAUUUCCGUGGCUUAGAGCUUUAGUUUCACAGAGACCAGGGCAGCAACUUUCUAAUCGUUUCGUCGAGUUAAGA